rnacentral:tRNA from 1 species
GGAACCAGCUUGGCAUAGUGGCUUGAGUGUUGGACUAUGACUCUGGAGACCAAGGUUCGAUUCCUCGCUUGGCCA